rnacentral:lncRNA from 10 species
AUAGGGAAUCCUUUCUCCAUUGCUUGAUUUUUUUGUUUGUUGUUUUUUUUUUUUUUUUUUGGUCAGGUUUGUUGAAGAUCAGAUGAUUGUAGAUGUGCAGUCUUACUUCUGAGAUCUGUAUUCUGUUACAUUGGUCUAUGUGUCUGUUUUUGUACCAGUACUAUCCUGCCUUGGUUACUGUAGCCUUGUAGUAUAGUUUUAAGUCAGGUAGCAUGAUGUCUACAGCUUUGUUUUUUAUGCUUAAGAUUGUCUGGGCGAUACAGACUCUUUUUUGGGUUCCAUAUGAAUUUUAAAGUAGUUUUUUUCUAAUUCUGUGAAGAAUGUCAGUGGUAGUUUAAGGGAAAUAGCAUUGAAUCUAUAAAUU